rnacentral:rRNA from 1 species
AGAGUUUGAUCCUGGCUCAGGACGUACGCUGGCGGCGUGCCUAAUACAUGCAAGUAGAACGCUGAAGAGAGGAGCUUGCUCUUCUUGGAUGAGUUGCGAACGGGUGAGUAACGCGUAGGUAACCUGCCUUGUAGCGGGGGAUAACUAUUGGAAACGAUAGCUAAUACCGCAUAACAAUGGAUGACACAUGUCAUUUAUUUGAAAGGGGCAAUUGCUCCACUACAAGAUGGACCUGCGUUGUAUUAGCUAGUAGGUGAGGUAAUGGCUCACCUAGGCGACGAUACAUAGCCGACCUGAGAGGGUGAUCGGCCACACUGGGACUGAGACACGGCCCAGACUCCUACGGGAGGCAGCAGUAGGGAAUCUUCGGCAAUGGGGGCAACCCUGACCGAGCAACGCCGCGUGAGUGAAGAAGGUUUUCGGAUCGUAAAGCUCUGUUGUAAGUCAAGAACGGGUGUGAGAGUGGAAAGUUCACACUGUGACGGUAGCUUACCAGAAAGGGACGGCUAACUACGUGCCAGCAGCCGCGGUAAUACGUAGGUCCCGAGCGUUGUCCGGAUUUAUUGGGCGUAAAGCGAGCGCAGGCGGUUUGAUAAGUCUGAAGUUAAAGGCUGUGGCUCAACCAUAGUUCGCUUUGGAAACUGUCAAACUUGAGUGCAGAAGGGGAGAGUGGAAUUCCAUGUGUAGCGGUGAAAUGCGUAGAUAUAUGGAGGAACACCGGUGGCGAAAGCGGCUCUCUGGUCUGUAGCUGACGCUGAGGCUCGAAAGCGUGGGGAGCGAACAGGAUUAGAUACCCUGGUAGUCCACGCCGUAAACGAUGAGUGCUAGGUGUUGGAUCCUUUCCGGGAUUCAGUGCCGCAGCU